UACGAAGGGGCUAGCGUUGCUCGGAAUCACUGGGCGUAAAGGGUGCGUAGGCGGGUCUUUAAGUCAGGGGUGAAAUCCUGGAGCUCAACUCCAGAACUGCCUUUGAUACUGAAGAUCUUGAGUCCGGGAGAGGUGAGUGGAACUGCGAGUGUAGAGGUGAAAUUCGUAGAUAUUCGCAAGAACACCAGUGGCGAAGGCGGCUCACUGGCCCGGUACUGACGGCUG
rnacentral:rRNA from 1 species